UAAUACCUUUUUCUUUAUGAGAUCUAAGUAAUUCCUUUGCUUUUGUGUGUUAAAUGUAGAUUUCAUGCAUUUUUAUGAACACUAACAGGUUUAGUGAUGAAGGGAAAUGCAAUUUCUCAUAUGUAUUUGAAGAAUUGUGUUUCUACAGCUAACUGUAUGCCUAUAAUCAGCUUGCCAUAAUAAUCCAGCACUCUCUGUAAAGUGUGACAUUUUAAGAAAAGUCAAUCGUGAAAGUAAUGUCACAAUUUACUCUCUGUUAAUUCCAAGUGGAAGAGAAAAGGAAAACGACAGCCCUGCACCUGAGCCGACAGACCAACAGAAUUCUGGAAAAUUCAAAAAAAUUGAGCAUGCUCUGUUGGCAGCCAAGUGGUGCCAGACAUGGCCUUUGAAGGGGAAGGUGACAUUACCCGCACUGACGCUAAUGGGCCGAUCAGAACAGCUGGCCAUCGGAAAAGCACAUGCGGGAGAAGAAGAAGACGACGGAGCUGAAAGACUCUUGGAUUUCAACUUUGAAUAUCAAAGUGAUUAUAAUAGGUUUUCUGAGGAAUUCAUGGACAAGGGUUACAAGGUGGAUGGGUCAUUCAAGCACUGUGAUUAGUUGCGUAAUGAGAGUUUAUUGUUUUACAUGUUGUGUUUUGUUUUAUUAAAUGUGUUUCAUAUUUACUAAUA